GGGACAACAGUUGGAAACGACUGCUAAUACCGCAUAAGCCCACGACCCGGCAUCGGGUAGAGGGAAAAGGAGCAAUCCGCUUUGAGAUGGCCUCGCGCCCGAUUAGCUAGUUGGUGAGGUAACGGCCCACCAAGGCGACGAUCGGUAGCCGGACUGAGAGGUUGAACGGCCACAUUGGGACUGAGACACGGCCCAGACUCCUACGGGAGGCAGCAGUGGGGAAUAUUGCACAAUGGGGGAAACCCUGAUGCAGCGACGCCGCGUGGAGGAAGAAGGUCUUCGGAUUGUAAACUCCUGUUGUUGAGGAAGAUAAUGACGGUACUCAACAAGGAAGUGACGGCUAACUACGUGCCAGCAGCCGCGGUAAAACGUAGGUCACAAGCGUUGUCCGGAAUUACUGGGUGUAAAGGGAGCGCAGGCGGGAAGACAAGUUGGAAGUGAAAUCCAUGGGCUCAACCCAUGAGCUGCUUUCAAAACUGUUUUUCUUGAGUAGUGCAGAGGUAGGCGGAAUUCCCGGUGUAGCGGUGGAAUGCGUAGAUAUCGGGAGGAACACCAGUGGCGAAGGCGGCCUACUGGGCACCAACUGACGCUGAGGCUCGAAAGUGUGGGUAGCAAACAGGAUUAGAUACCCUGGUAGUCCACACUGUAAACGCUGAAUAGUAGGUGUUGGAGGAUUGACCCCUUCAGUGCCGCAG
rnacentral:rRNA from 1 species